GAUGAACGCUGGCGGCGUGCUUAACACAUGCAAGUCGAACGGUGAACGAGGGAGCUUGCUCCCUCCGGAUCAGUGGCGAACGGGUGAGUAACACGUGAGCAAUCUGCCCUGGACUCUGGGAUAAGCGUUGGAAACGACGUCUAAUACCGGAUACGAGGCGUGGGGGCAUCCCCAACGCCUGGAAAGAACUUCGGUCCAGGAUGAGCUCGCGGCCUAUCAGCUAGUUGGUGAGGUAACGGCUCACCAAGGCGACGACGGGUAGCCGGCCUGAGAGGGUGACUGGCCACACUGGGACUGAGACACGGCCCAGACUCCUACGGGAGGCAGCAGUGGGGAAUAUUGCACAAUGGGCGCAGGCCUGAUGCAGCAACGCCGCGUGAGGGACGACGGCCUUCGGGUUGUAAACCUCUCUUAGCAGGGAAGAAGCGAAAGUGACGGUACCUGCAGAAAAAGCACCGGCUAACUACGUGCCAGCCGCCGCAGUAAUAC
rnacentral:rRNA from 1 species